GUUGGACUCAUUGUGAACCAAGGAAGGAGGCUGCAAAAGGAAAUGGGAAGAAAGAGGAUCUACCGAUAGUCAGCUGGUGCUCAUCCAGGGAAGAGUGUAGUCCUAAGUCCUAUUGGAAGCUCGGGAUUAAGAAGUCUCACCAGCCUGGUGUGGUGGCGCAUGCCUUUAAUCCCAGCUCUCGGGAGACAGAGCACAAACUCCAGAUCAGAGAAAGGCCUGGUAGUGCCUGGCAUCUAGGAGCCAGAGGAGUUGAGGAGAAGCUCUGGCCUCCCCCCACUGGAAACUCAACACCAGCCUCCUUCCCUCUUGCUUGAAAGUACUCUAGAGUUUCUGUGCUCACAAUGCAUCUCUUUGGAAGGCUGCCCUCCAAGGGUUGCCAUGGUGACUAUUUUGGUACUGCAUGCUAGAAAAAGCUGAGGCACCUGCUGGUCACACCACCAAAACUUGUCUCUGAAAAAUCAGCAGAUGGCAUUUGUCAGAAAUUCCGACUUCUUGAUUAAUUUGGGGAAAAAAGGAGUGUGUGGCAGUGCCAACAUCCUUUAACCUGGAUAGUUUUUUGUUGGUGUUUGGGGAAGAUGUGGGGCAGCUGUGUACACAUCCCAUGAACUUCCUUCACAGAGCUGGGUCAC